UACAGAGGGUGCGAGCGUUGUUCGGAAUUAUUGGGCGUAAAGGGCGCGUAGGCGGCGCCACAAGUCACCUGUGAAAACUCUGGGCUCAACCCAGAGCCUGCAGGCGAAGCUGUGGUGCUGGAGUAUGGGAGAGGUGCGUGGAAUUCCCGGUGUAGCGGUGAAAUGCGUAGAUACCGGGAGGAACACCCGUGGCGAAAGCGGCGCGCUGGACCACUACUGACGCUGAGGAACGAAAGCUAGGGGAGCAAACAGG
rnacentral:rRNA from 1 species